UACAGAGGUCCCGAGCGUUGUUCGGAUUCACUGGGCGUAAAGGGUGCGUAGGUGGUGAGGUAAGUCGGAUGUGAAAUCUCCGAGCUCAACUCGGAAAUGGCAUUGGAAACUACCUUGCUUGAGGGUUGGAGGGGGGACUGGAAUACUUGGUGUAGCAGUGAAAUGCGUAGAUAUCAAGUGGAACACCAGUGGUGAAGGCGAGUCCCUGGACAACUCCUGACACUGAGGCACGAAAGCUAGGGGAGCAAACAGG
rnacentral:rRNA from 1 species